AGAACGAACGCUGGCGGCAUGCCUAACACAUGCAAGUCGAACGCUCUUGGGGCUUCGGUUCCAAGGGAGUGGCGCACGGGUGAGUAGCGCGUGGGAACCUGCCCUGGAGUGGGGGAUAACCGAGGGAAACUUCGGCUAAUACCGCAUACGCCGGGAAACCGGGAAAGAUUUAUCGCUCUAGGAGGGGCCCGCGUCGGAUUAGGUAGUUGGUGGGGUAACGGCUUACCAAGCCUGUGAUCAGUAGCUGGUCUGAGAGGAUGAUCAGCCUCACUGGGACUGAGACACGGCCCAGACUCCUACGGGAGGCAGCAGUGGGGAAUAUUGGACAAUGGGCGCAAGCCUGAUCCAGCCAUGCCGCGUGGGUGAUGAAGGCCCUAGGGUUGUAAAGCCCUUUCGGCGGGGAAGAUAAUGACGGUACCCGCAGAAGACGCCCCGGCUAACUUCGUGCCAGCAGCCGC
rnacentral:rRNA from 1 species